UAGAAAUACAUCACUGGUACGGGUACGGAUCCGACGCCUCUCGAAGGAUACUUAGGCUCUCCGUACCCUACUCCUACUCAAAUAGAACUCCCCGACGCUUAGAACGAUAACAUGUCUUUCCGCAUAUCUGAGCUUAGGUAUACGGGGAAACCCAACCCCUUGGGAGGAUGGAAAGCAUGGCUAAUUUGAAAGGA
rnacentral:ribozyme from 1 species